AUUGAACGCUGGCGGCAGGCCUAACACAUGCAAGUCGAGCGGAUGAAGGGAGCUUGCUCCUGGAUUCAGCGGCGGACGGGUGAGUAAUGCCUAGGAAUCUGCCUGGUAGUGGGGGAUAACGUCCGGAAACGGGCGCUAAUACCGCAUACGUCCUGAGGGAGAAAGUGGGGGAUCUUCGGACCUCACGCUAUCAGAUGAGCCUAGGUCGGAUUAGCUAGUUGGUGGGGUAAAGGCCUACCAAGGCGACGAUCCGUAACUGGUCUGAGAGGAUGAUCAGUCACACUGGAACUGAGACACGGUCCAGACUCCUACGGGAGGCAGCAGUGGGGAAUAUUGGACAAUGGGCGAAAGCCUGAUCCAGCCAUGCCGCGUGUGUGAAGAAGGUCUUCGGAUUGUAAAGCACUUUAAGUUGGGAGGAAGGGCAGUAAGUUAAUACCUUGCUGUUUAGACGUUACCAACAGAAUAAGCACCGGCUAACUUCGUG
rnacentral:rRNA from 1 species